rnacentral:rRNA from 1 species
AUGAAUGCAAUGAGUUGGAACUAUCGAGGUCUUGGGAACCUAUCGACAGUCCGAGAGCUUCGCAAGAUCGUGAAGCAAGAAGGGCCCUCCCUACUCUUUGUGAUGGAAACAAAGAUCAGGGGAAAGAGAGUGGAAAGUUUGCAAAAUCUUCUAAGUUUUGCAGGUUGUUUUGCUGUGGAUAGUAAUGGAUUAAGUGGUGGCGUUGGCUUAUUCUGGACAAAUAAUGUCGAUGUAGAAUUGAAGAAUUACAACCAAGCGCAUAUUGAUGUGAGAGUCAGGAAGAAGGAUGGUGAUCUACCCCCCUGGCGUUUCACUGGUUUUGACGGAGAACCCAUAACUAAAAAUAGACACAUAGUUGGGAUUUCUGGCAUACACUGCAUGCAGUCCAGCAUGAGAGUUGGCUCUGCAUGGGUGACUUCAAUGAGACAAUGUUCGCAGAUGUGCACUUCAGUUCACAUGCUAGGCCGGAGUGGCAAAUGCGUGCCUUUCGUGCAAUUAUUGAUUAUUGCUCCUUUCAAGAUCUUGGAUGGAGAGGGGUUCCAUACACAUGGGAUAAGCGGCAACAAGGGCAAGCAAAUGUUAAGGCCGGGCUUGACAGAGCCCUUGCAAAUGCAGGCUUUCUCAGCAUGUUUGCUUAUUCCAGUGUGA